rnacentral:rRNA from 1 species
UGGGGAAUUUUGGACAAUGGGCGAAAACCUGAUCCAGCAAUGCCGCGUGUGUGAAGAAGGCCUUCGGGUUGUAAAGCACUUUUGUCCGGAAAGAAAUCCUUGGCUCUAAUACAGUCGGGGGAUGACGGUACCGGAAGAAUAAGCACCGGCUAACUACGUGCCAGCAGCCGCGGUAAUACGUAGGGUGCAAGCGUUAAUCGGAAUUACUGGGCGUAAAGCGUGCGCAGGCGGUUUGCUAAGACCGAUGUGAAAUCCCCGGGCUCAACCUGGGAACUGCAUUGGUGACUGGCAGGCUAGAGUAUGGCAGAGGGGGGUAGAAUUCCACGUGUAGCAGUGAAAUGCGUAGAGAUGUGGAGGAAUACCGAUGGCGAAGGCAGCCCCCCUGGGCCAAAUACUGACGCUCAUGCACGAAAAGGCGUGGGGGAGCAAAACAGGAUUAGAUACCCCUGGUAGUCCACGCCCUAAACGAUGUCAACUAGUUGUUGGGGACUUCAUUUUCCUUAGUAACGUAGCUAACGCGUGAAGUUGACCGCCUGGGGAGUACGGUCGCAAGAUUAAAACUCAAAUGAAUUGACGGGGUCAUAGCUGUUUCCU